rnacentral:rRNA from 1 species
GACGUAGGGUGCAAGCGUUGUCCGGAAUUAUUGGGCGUAAAGAGCUCGUAGGCGGUCUGUUGCGUCGGCUGUGAAAACCCGGGGCUCAACCCCGGGCCUGCAGCCGAUACGGGCAGACUAGAGUUCGGCAGGGGAGACUGGAAUUCCUGGUGUAGCGGUGAAAUGCGCAGAUAUCAGGAGGAACACCGGUGGCGAAGGCGGGUCUCUGGGCCGAUACUGACGCUGAGGAGCGAAAGCGUGGGGAGCGAACAGG